GAUUAAGUUUUCGGAUGUUCUGUGCGCGUUCCCGAGGCCCUUCGACUUUCCAUCCCAGAAACGGUAAACGCGGUGAGCAGCGCAUUCACAUUACUUACGAUUAAUUUCAUAAUCCAGUCUGGUAGUUUUAAGAAGCGAGUUCUUGCAUUCGCCUUCCCCGAGCCUCGGCGGGGAUAAGGAGCGCCAGCGAGCCCAAGGUCUCCCUGGCGAGAGUGGCAGUACUGGAGGGCUCCCCGAAGGGCACCUUGGUGUUGCCCGGGGCGUCCGCGGAGGUACCGGAGAUCUGCACGGGUAGAUGGGGCUCGUUAGCCGUGGUAGGCAGUCCAUCUAGGAGAGCAAACUCCGAAGAAUAUACCCGGGCAGGUGAGGCUCGUUAGCCGUGGUAGGCAAUUUGCCUAGGAGAGCAAACUCCGAACAAUAAACCCGGGCAGGUGGAGGUCGUUAGCGUGAGCAGUUCACCUAGGAGAGUAAACUCCGAUUACAAACCCGGGCAGGUGGAGCUCGUUAGCGUGAGCAGUUCACCUAGGAGAAGGAAAACUCUGAUCACAAACACGGGCAGGUGGAGGUCGUUAGCCGUGGUAGGCAAUCUGCCUAGGAGAGGGACAACUCCGAACAACAAACACGGGUAGGUGGAGGUCGUUAGCCAUGGUAGGCAAUCUGCCUAGGAGAGGGACAACUCCGAACAACAAACACGGACAGGCGGAGGUCGUUAGCCGUGGUAGGUAAUUCGCCUAGGAGAGGGACAACUCCGAACAACAAACACGGACAGGCGGAGGUCGUUAGCCAUGGCAGGUAAUUCGCCUAGGAGAGGGACAACUCCGAACAACAAACACGGGCAGGCGGAGGUCGUUAGCCGUGGAAGGCAAUUCGCCUAGGAGAGGGACAACUCCGAACAACAAACACGGGCAGGCGGAGGUCGUUAGCCGUGGUAGGCAAUUCGCCUAGGAGAGGGACAACUCCGAACAACAAACACGGGCAGGCGGAGGUCGUUAGCCGUGGUAGGUAAUUCGCCUAGGAGAGGGACAACUCCGAACAACAAACACGGGCAGGCGGAGGUCGUUAGCCGUGGUAGGCAAUUCGCCUAGGAGAAGGACAACUGCGAUUACAAACCCGGGCAGGUGGAGGUCGUUAGCGUGAGCAGUUCACCUAGGAGAGCAAACUCCGAUUACAAACCCGGGCAGGUGGAGCUCGUUAGCGUGAGCAGUUCACCUAGGAGAGCAAACUCCGAUUACAAACCCGGGCAGGUGGAGCUCGUUAGCGUGAGCAGUUCACCUAGGAGAAGGAAAACUCUGACCACAAACCCGGGCAGGUGGAGGUCGUUAGCGUGAGCAGUUCACCUAGGAGAAGGAAAACUCUGACCACAAACCCGGGCAGGUGGAGCUCGUUAGCCGUGGUAGGCAAUACACCUAGGAGAGCAAACUCCGAACAACAAACCCGGACAGGUUGGGCUCGUGAGCCGUCAUAGGCAAUACACCUAGGAGAGCAAACUCCGAACAACAAACCCGGGCAGGUUGGGCUCGUGAGCCGUCAUAGGCAAUACACCUAGGAGAGCAAACUCCGAACAAAAAACCCGGGCAGGUUGGGCUCGUGAGCCGUCAUAGGCAAUACACCUAGGAGAGCAAACUCCGAACAACAAACCCGGACAGGUUGGGUUCGUGAGCCGUCAUAGGCAAUACACCUAGGAGAGCAAACUCCGAACAAAAAACCCGAGCAGGUUGGGCUCGUGAGCCGUCAUAGGCAAUACACCUAGGAGAGCAAACUCCGAUUACAAACCCGGGCAGGUGGAGGUCGUUAGCCGUGGUAGGCAAUCUGCCUAGGAGAGGGACAACUCCGAACAACAAACACGGGCAGGUGGAGGUCGUUAGCGUAAGCAGUUCACCUAGGAGAGCAAACUCCGAUUACAAACCCGGGCAGGAGGGGGUCGUUAGCCGUGGUAGGUAGUCCUCCUAGGAGAAGGAAAACUCCGAAUUCAAACCACACACACACACACACACACACCAACCGGGCAGGUGGGGCUCGUUAUAGGCGUCGUAGACAAUCCACCAAGGGGAAUCACCAAAAAGAUUAUUAUGAAAGCGAACACACGAGAAGAAGAAUAAAACCGGAAAAAGAGGAUAAUAGUAUAAGAUGAAACACUAAAAAAAAGGAUAGUUAAGAAAACAACAUCGAGAAGAGCAUAAGAUACACGCGGAUCAUCCAGACUGACACAGAAGACCAAAAAAUGGAUGGCAUAAAAAGAAGGGAAAAAAAUAUAAUGUAAAAAGAAGGAAAGAAAAUAACGUAAAAACUAAAACACCAAGAAAAGGAAAAUAAAGAAAAUAUACAAACAACAUCAAGAAAAGAAAACAAACAUCAUCCACCUUUAGGCCCUAAAAUCAACAUCUCCAAAAUUCUGGGCGGGCUUUCUUCUGGGAGGAAAGAGGCUCACCCAGACUGACGAGGAACACCAAGAAAGGAUGACAUAGAAGAGAAGAAAAAACAUCAGAAAAAAAAAAUAAA